UACGUAGGGCGCAAGCGUUAUCCGGAAUUAUUGGGCGUAAAGAGCUCGUAGGCGGUUUGUCGCGUCUGCCGUGAAAACCCGGGGCUCAACCCCGGGCCUGCAGUCGAUACGGGCAGACUAGAGUGCGGUAGGGGAGACUGGAAUUCCUGGUGUAGCGGUGAAAUGCGCAGAUAUCAGGAGGAACACCGGUGGCGAAGGCGGGUCUCUGGGCCGUAACUGACGCUGAGGAGCGAAAGCGUGGGGAGCGAACAGG
rnacentral:rRNA from 1 species